GUCUAUGGCCAUGCCACCCUGAACAAGCCUGAUCCCAUCUGAUCUCAGAAGCUAAGCGGGGUCAGGCCUGGUUAGUACUUGGAUGGGAGACCACCUAGGAAGACCAGGUGCCAUAGGCA
rnacentral:rRNA from 1 species